GGUAAAGUAACUCAGAGGUAGAGUGGCACAUUGAAGAUGUGCAGGCCGCUGGUUCGAUCCCAGCCUUUACCACAA
rnacentral:tRNA from 1 species